ACGAACGCUAGCGGCAUGCCUCAAACAUGCAAGUCGAACGCGAAAGUAUCUUCGGAUACGAGUAGAGUGGCGCACGGGUGCGUAACACGUAACUAAUGUCCCUCUUCGCUGGGGAUAACUCCGGGAAACCGGAGCUAAUACCGAAUGAGCUGUCGAGAUCUGCGGAUCUUGCCAGCAAAGCCGUAAGGCGCGAAGUGAUCAGGUUGCGGCCCAUUAGCUUGNGGUGAGGUAAUGGCUCACCAAGGCUACGAUGGGUAGCUGGUCUGAGAGGAUGACCAGCCACACUGGAACUGGAACACGGUCCAGACUCCCACGGGAGGCAGCAGUUGGGAAUAUUGGACAAUGGGGGAAACCCUGAUCCAGCAAUGCCGCGUGAGUGAUGAAGGCC
rnacentral:rRNA from 1 species